GGGAAGAGGUCAAGAACAUCUAGCUCUUGUGGUGUUCCUCCUCAUUAUUGUCAUCGCCAUCAACAGCAACAAUGACGACCGGCUCAUGAGACAGCUACUAGAGAGGGAGCGAGGAAGGGGGAGACAGAUCUUUCAGGAGCUCGGUCAAAAAUCACCUAAGGAAAAUAUGUUGUUCUUCUCUACAAGGGUUGUAUGUGGAAUUUGAGGAGAAUCUGUGCACCAGCAUCCGACUCCUUGAUGUUGCUCUGAUCAUAUUGUGUAAAUAUAUUUCUAAUAAAGCAAUCGCCUGAUGGUGUACAUGUUAUAAAUAACAAGAAUCAUCAAGUGUGAGAGAUGGCAACAUCAUGAUGGGAUGGUAUGUACUGUUGUGCUCAUCAAUAGAGUUAGAUCACUUUUCUGUCUGA